UGGGAGGAACUGGGCACCGGGACUGGGAGGAGUGGGACGGAGCCCCCCCCAGGCCUGAGGCUGCACGGGGAGGGGGGGGAAGGAGUUUGUCUGAAAAAAGCCCCCCACGAAGGCGGGGAGAGAGGGGGGGUUGUGCCUCUGGGGGGAGAUGCUGAUGUUUAAUUUAAGUCUCGGGGCUGUAACUUCCCCUUCCCUGUUCUGCCUCCACAAUAAACUGCCUCAUUUCAGUCUCUGUGUGUUUCAUUGGGGGGGCCGGGCGAGGUCGAUGCUGCGGGGAGCGACCCCCCCCGCAGCCGUGCUCGCCGUCGUUUUAACCCCCCAAAAAAAAUUUCCGAAGGGCGGCGGCUCCUUUAAGAGUUUCCCGCGCGGCGCCUUUAAGGGGGGGGGGCGGGGGGGGCAGUCUCAGCGGCCACGUGAGCGGGUGGGCUCCCAACAUGGCGGCGACCAGCGCCUUCCUCCUCCUCCUCCUCCCGCUGCUGGCGGCGGGCGGGCGGAGCGGGGGGCGGCAGGUGAGCGGGGGGCACCGGGGGAAGCCGCGGAGGGGCCGGGGCCCGCCCGGCCCCGGUGGAGCCGCUACCGGCGGGAAAAGGCCCUGGGUCCCGGGGGAGAGGGGCUUCCUCGGGUCUCCGCGACAAGCCCCCGGGGCUCGGAGGGGGAACCUGUCGCUGCGGGUCACCCGCCUCCGGGGACACGGUCCCGCUGCCGCGCGUCCCGGUGCUGCCGUCCCUCCUCUCCCGGGCCGGGGCGAGGGGGAAGCGGCUCCUGCGCCGCGGGGAAGCUGUUGCGAAAGAGCCGGGACGCAGCGCGGGGGGGGCUCCGGCACCGGGGCGGCUCCUGUCCCCUCGUCCCACCGGUUUCCUCAACUGGGACCAGUUCUGGGUCCCCCAGUUCCAGAAGGACAGGGAACUGCUGGAGAGGGGACAGCGGGGGCUGCGAGGAUGAUGAGGGGCCUGGAGCAUCUCUGUGCUGAGGAAAGGCUGAGGGACCUGGGGCUGUUCAGCUGGAGAAGAGCAGACUGAGAGGGGAUCCCAUCGAUGCUGAGCAAGAGCUAAAGGGUGGGGGGGGCAAGAGGAUGGGGCCAGGCUCUUCUCAGUGGUGCCCGGGGACAGGACAAGGGACAACGGG
rnacentral:lncRNA from 1 species